GAGGAGAUGAUUUCUUUGGUGGUGGUGGUGAAGUGUAGUAAUAUGGUGAUGGAGGAGAUUUCUUGGGUGGUGGAGGAGAGCUAUAGUAGUAUGGUGGAGGUGGUGACUUAACUGGUGGUGGUGGAGAAGUGUAGUGAUAUGGUGGAGGAGGUGAUUUCUUGGGUGGUGGAGGAGAGUUGUAGUAGUAUGGUGGAGGAGGUGACUUAACCGGCGGUGGUGGAGAAGUGUAGUGAUAUGGUGGAGGAGGUGAUUUCUUGGGUGGUGGAGGAGAGUUGUAGUAGUAUGGUGGAGGAGGUGACUUAACCGGCGGUGAUGGAUAAGUGUAGUAGUAGUAUGGUGGAGGAGGUGACUUAACCGGCGGUGAUGGAUAAGUGUAGUGAUAUGGUGGAGGAGGUGAUUUCUUGGGUGGUGGAGGAGAGCUAUAGUAGUAUGGUGGAGGAGGUGACUUAACCGGCGGUGGUGGAGAAGUGUAGUGAUACGGUGGAGGAGGUGAUUUCUUUGGUGGUGGAGGAGAGCUAUAGUAGUAUGGUGGGGGAGGUGACUUAGCCGGCGGUGGUGGAGAGUUGUAGUAGUAAGGUAGAGGAGGAGACUUCUUUGGGGGUGGUGGAGAGGUGUAGUGAUACGGUGGAGGGGGUGAUUUCUUUGGUGGUGGUGGCGAGGAGUAAUAGUAUGGUGGAGGAGGUGACUUCUUGGGUGGGGGUGGAGAGCUGUAGUGGUAAGGUGGAGGUGGUGACGACUUAGGGGGAGGUGGAGAUUUAUAGUAGUAAGGUGGUGGAGGUGAUGGUGAUGGUGGUGGAGGAGAUUUAUAGUAGUAUGGUGGCGGUGGUGAAGGUGAUGGUGGAGGAGGAGACUUGUAGUAAUACACUGGAGGUGGUGACGGUGAUG
rnacentral:lncRNA from 1 species